AGUAAGCAGCACCCUCCAUGGCCUCUGCAUCGGCUCCUGCCUCCAGGUGCCUGCCCUGUGUGAGUUCCUGCCCUCAUGGCUUUUGAUAAUGACCUGUCAUAUGGAGCUAAUUCCUGACCUCUGUGCAGUUGCUGUAACGCUAACAUGAGGCUCUGUUGGGUCCAUCUUUGUAAAUCCUGACGCCCAGAAAGGUUUGUGGCAAUAAAACAAGCACUGUGUAUGUUUACUGGUUGGAAGGCUGUGGAAGGGGAACGCUCUCUACUACAGG